GACGGCCGUCGGCAAGAACCUUGUGUUGAGCAACCGCGAGAUCCGUCUGCUGAGAUACGUGGAGCUGACUGAUGAGCAGCGGGAGAAGCUGGAGAAGUCGUACAAGGUGGCCAAGAAGCUGGAGAGGCUGCAGCAGAAGCGCGAGGAUGGAGAGGCUCAGGCCGAGGAGUCGGAGACGUCGCU